CUAAAUAGUGCCUUUAAAUCCAGCUUGAUGAACAAACUUCAAGCCUGGAAGGUUUUGGGCAGAGAUAAGUGUGAUGGCCACAAGCAAGCAUGGGACUGGGAAACCCUGGAUGAUGAUGUAAAGUGGAGCACCAGGACCAAUGAUGCAACACAGCAGCAGGACAGGCUCUGAGAUGCCUUGGUGUGGCUUGAUGACAUAGACAUGAAGCACCAAGAUUUGGAAGCUGCCACAUACAAUCCGAAGAAAGCUUUGCUGGCCUGGGGAUGUGCCAUCCAGAUGACAGGAUCCAGGGAACUGGCCUUUCUAUUUAACUCAAAGGAAAAAUGAACAGGUGCUACGGAUACUAACAGAGGGACAUGAUUUCCCUCAACAGUGAGAGCUGUCUCCUAGAUGACAACUAAAAACUAUCCAGAA
rnacentral:lncRNA from 1 species